rnacentral:rRNA from 1 species
UACGUAGGGACCAAGCGUUGUUCGGAUUUACUGGGCGUAAAGGGCGCGUAGGCGGCGUGGUAAGUCACUUGUGAAAUCUCUGAGCUUAACUCAGAACGGCCAAGUGAUACUGCUGUGCUAGAGUGCAGAAGGGGCAAUCGGAAUUCUUGGUGUAGCGGUGAAAUGCGUAGAUAUCAAGAGGAACACCUGAGGUGAAGACGGGUUGCUGGGCCGACACUGACGCUGAGGCGCGAAAGCCAGGGGAGCAAACGGG